rnacentral:rRNA from 1 species
UACGUAGGGGGCAAGCGUUGUCCGGAUUCAUUGGGCGUAAAGAGCGUGUAGGCGGCCAGGUAGGUCGGUUGUGAAAACUGGAGGCUCAACCUUCAGACGUCGACCGAAACCAUCUGGCUAGAGUCCGGGAGAGGAGAGUGGAAUUCCUGGUGUAGCGGUGGAAUGCGCAGAUAUCAGGAGGAACACCAAUAGCGAAGGCAGCUCGCUGGGACGUUACUGACACUGAGGCGCGAAAGCGUGGGGAGCGAACAGG